GCCCCCAUCGUCUAGCGGCCUAGGACGCUGGCCCUUCAAGCCGGUAACAUGGAUUCGAAUUCCAUUGGGGGCA
rnacentral:tRNA from 1 species